UGCUCCCGGAUGUUAGCGGCGGACGGGUGAGUAACACGUGGGUAACCUGCCUGUAAGACUGGGAUAACUCCGGGAAACCGGAGCUAAUACCGGAUAGUUCCUUGAACCGCAUGGUUCAAGGAUGAAAGACGGUUUCGGCUGUCACUUACAGAUGGACCCGCGGCGCAUUAGCUAGUUGGUGGGGUAAUGGCUCACCAAGGCGACGAUGCGUAGCCGACCUGAGAGGGUGAUCGGCCACACUGGGACUGAGACACGGCCCAGACUCCUACGGGAGGCAGCAGUAGGGAAUCUUCCGCAAUGGACGAAAGUCUGACGGAGCAACGCCGCGUGAGUGAUGAAGGUUUUCGGAUCGUAAAGCUCUGUUGUUAGGGAAGAACAAGUGCGAGAGUAACUGCUCGCACCUUGACGGUACCUAACCAGAAAGCCACGGCUAACUACGUGCCAGCAGCCGCGGUAAUACGUAGGUGGCAAGCGUUGUCCGGAAUUAUUGGGCGUAAAGGGCUCGCAGGCGGUUUCUUAAGUCUGAUGUGAAAGCCCCCGGCUCAACCGGGGAGGGUCAUUGGAAAC
rnacentral:rRNA from 1 species